UGGGGAAUAUUGGACAAUGGGCGCAAGCCUGAUCCAGCCAUGCCGCGUGGGUGAUGAGGGCCUUAGGGUUGUAAAGCCCUUUCGGCGGGGAAGAUAAUGACGGUACCCGCAGAAGAAGCCCCGGCUAACUUCGUGCCAGCAGCCGCGGUAAUACGAAGGGGGCUAGCGUUGCUCGGAAUUACUGGGCGUAAAGCGCACGUAGGCGGCUUGUUAAGUCGGGGGUGAAAUCCCGGAGCUCAACUCCGGAACUGCCUUCGAUACUGGCAAGCUCGAGUCCGGGAGAGGAGAGUGGAACUGAGAGUGUAGAGGUGAAAUUCGUAGAUAUUCGCAAGAACACCAGUGGCGAAGGCGGCUCACUGGCCCGGUACUGACGCUGAGGUGCGAAAGCGUGGGGAGCAAAC
rnacentral:rRNA from 1 species